UCAAGUCGGAUGUGAAAUCCCCGGGCUCAACCUGGGAACUGCAUUCGAAACUGGCAGGCUUGAGUCUUGUAGAGGGGGGUAGAAUUCCAGGUGUAGCGGUGAAAUGCGUAGAGAUCUGGAGGAAUACCGGUGGCGAAGGCGGCCCCCUGGACAAAGACUGACGCUCAGGUGCGAAAGCGUGGGGAGCAAACAGGAUUAGAUACCCUGGUAGUCCACGCCGUAAACGAUGUCUACUUGGAGGUUGUGCCCUUGAGGCGUGGCUUCCGGAGCUAACGCGUUAAGUAGACCGCCUGGGGAGUACGGCCGCAAGGUUAAAACUCAAAUGAAUUGACGGGGGCCCGCACAAGCGGUGGAGCAUGUGGUUUAAUUCGAUGCAACGCGAAGAACCUUAC
rnacentral:rRNA from 2 species